rnacentral:rRNA from 1 species
AAUCGAGUGGCGAACGGGUGAGUAACGCGUGAGGAACCUGCCUCAAAGAGGGGGACAACAGUUGGAAACGACUGCUAAUACCGCAUAAGCCCACAGCUCGGCAUCGAGCAGAGGGAAAAGGAGUGAUCCGCUUUGAGAUGGCCUCGCGUCCGAUUAGCUGGUUGGUGAGGUAACGGCCCACCAAGGCGACGAUCGGUAGCCGGACUGAGAGGUUGAACGGCCACAUUGGGACUGAGACACGGCCCAGACUCCUACGGGAGGCAGCAGUGGGGAAUAUUGCACAAUGGGGGAAACCCUGAUGCAGCGACGCCGCGUGGAGGAAGAAGGUCUUCGGAUUGUAAACUCCUGUUGUUGAGGAAGAUAAUGACGGUACUCAACAAGGAAGUGACGGCUAACUACGUGCCAGCAGCCGCGGUAAAACGUAGGUCACAAGCGUUGUCCGGAAUUACUGGGUGUAAAGGGAGCGCAGGCGGGAAAGCAAGUUGGAAGUGAAAUCCAUGGGCUCAACCCAUGAACUGCUUUCAAAACUGUUUUUCUUGAGUAGUGCAGAGGUAGGCGGAAUUCCCGGUGUAGCGGUGGAAUGCGUAGAUAUCGGGAGGAACACCAGUGGCGAAGGCGGCCUACUGGGCACCAACUGACGCUGAGGCUCGAAAGUGUGGGUAGCAAACAGGAUUAGAUACCCUGGUAGUCCACACUGUAAACGAUGAUUACUAGGUGUUGGAGGAUUGACCCCUUCAGUGCCGCAGUUAACACAAUAAGUAAUCCACCUGGGGAGUACGACCGCAAGGUUGAAACUCAAAGGAAUUGACGGGGGCCCGCACAAGCAGUGGAGUAUGUGGUUUAAUUCGACGCAACGCGAAGAACCUUAC